ACAAGCUGCUAGCGAGCGAGCGCAUGAACUUGAACAAUCGCCUAGUUAAGCGAGCCGAGAACCGAGAGGAGAGAAUCAAGUGAAAUAGUUGGGCAGCUCUUAAACUACGAUGACGCACGCCGCCGAACAAUGCCGCGGUCAUUAAAAUAGCAUUCCUUCACGAACAUUAUUAUACUCACUGUGCUGCGUACACCACACCACACCGCGCUAAACAGGCUUAGUGGGGCAAAAUAAAAAAUAAAAGAAAAUGUGAAAAGAGAAGAGUAAGAAAGGACGAUAAGAGCCAUAAAAUACAACGAGUCCAUUGUAAAGGAGUCCUGUCCCACACUUCUGUAGGCGCAACAUACUAUCUUCGCUGAACAAAAAGGAUUGAAUACUU